rnacentral:rRNA from 1 species
UACGGGGGGGGCAAGCGUUGUUCGGAAUUGCUGGGCGUAAAGGGCGCGUAGGCGGUUUGCUAAGUUGGAUGUGAAAACUCUGGGCUUAACCCAGAGCCUGCAUCCAAAACUGGCAAACUUGAGUACUGGAGGGGAAAGCGGAAUUCCUGGUGUAGCGGUGAAAUGCGUAGAUAUCAGGAGGAACACCGGUGGCGAAGGCGGCUUUCUGGACAGUAACUGACGCUGAGGCGCGAAAGCUAGGGGAGCAAACAGG